AGCAAGUGCAACUUGGCAAACAGAGAGCCCAGCUACUUAAUGCAAACAACACCUCCCUGGCACAGCAGCAUAGGAGCAACGGAGGGGCAGGGCAAAGCGGGAUUGAAAAGAUACUGCACCUUUCACUGUUAGGAUGACUAUUCAUGAUCCAAAGCUGUGGGAAAGGAUGUACGUCAUUUGGCCAUCCAGCAACAUUGCCAAUGGAAAUCAGCAGUGACCUUGCUAUAAAUUGCCAUCUCAAAAACCACACAUUUCUAAUCUUAGGAUACCUGGUGAUUCUACUGAUACGUUACAACUGUACUGAUGACUAUUCCUCUAAGUUUCUUAUCUGAAGCUGUACCAGUUUUCCAUCAAGCUAGGACUGAAAACUCAGCAGGAAGAAGCUGGCUUGGGGAUGGGAGUGGAAUACUCAGGAUUGAAUCAGCAGGUGUGCAAAGUUUUCAUGACUUGUGCCAUGACUAAGAGACUGAGCAAUUAAUCAGGAGCUAUGAAUCAGCCGGCAACCACCUUCAUUUCUCCACACUCCUUUCAAUGCCCGAAAGCGUCAGAUUCAGAGCUCCCAGUCCAACCCUUGAAGGCAUUGUGGGAGUGACAUGAAUCUCCCAGACUGUCACUGAACCACGAAAGAUAGACAAGCCAUUUUCACAGAAUCCAUUGCAUACCAUAAAUGUAUCUCAGGACAUCUUUAAAAAAAGACCAGUAAAACAAGAUGUGAAGAAAUUUCAAAAUGCAACAUUAAAACAAGUAAUAUUGUUUGAAUUAAUUACAAUUAGCUGUUAAUAAUAAUAAACAAUAUUAUAAUAACAAUACACUAUAAAUAAUUAUUAAUUGUUUGAACUAAAUAAAUACUUUACAAUAUAAUUGGAUCUUUUCAUAUUUACAAUAUCAACCAGGUACAUGA